rnacentral:rRNA from 1 species
GAUGAACGCUGGCGGCGUGCCUAAUACAUGCAAGUCGAGCGAACAGAUGAGGAGCUUGCUCCUCUGACGUUAGCGGCGGACGGGUGAGUAACACGUGGAUAACCUACCUAUAAGGCUGGGAUAACUUCGGGAAACCGGAGCUAAUACCGGAUAAUAUAUUGAACCGCAUGGUUCAAUAGUGAAAGACGGUUUUGCUGUCACUUAUAGAUGGAUCCGCGCCGCAUUAGCUAGUUGGUAAGGUAACGGCUUACCAAGGCAACGAUGCGUAGCCGACCUGAGAGGGUGAUCGGCCACACUGGAACUGAGACACGGUCCAGACUCCUACGGGAGGCAGCAGUAGGGAAUCUUCCGCAAUGGGCGAAAGCCUGACGGAGCAACGCCGCGUGAGUGAUGAAGGUCUUCGGAUCGUAAAACUCUGUUAUUAGGGAAGAACAAAUGUGUAAGUAACUAUGCACGUCUUGACGGUACCUAAUCAGAAAGCCACGGCUAACUACGUG